UUCCCUGGUUGAUCCUGCCGGAGGUCACUGCUAUUGGGAUUCGACUAAGCCAUGCGAGUCGUGAGGGUUCGGCCCUCGGCUGACGGCUCAGUAACACACGGAUAAUCUGCCCUUGGGUGGAGGAUAAUCUCGGGAAACUGAGAAUAAUACUCCAUAAGUCUAGGAUGCUGGAAUGCACUUAGACUAAAAACUUCGGUGCGCAAGGAUGAGUCUGCGGACUAUCAGGUUGUAGUCAGGGUAACGACCUGACUAGCCUACGACGGAUACGGGUUGUGAGAGCAAUAACCCGGAGAUGAUAUCUGAGACACGAUAUCAGGCCCUACGGGGCGCAGCAGGCGCGAAAACUUCGCAAUGUGCGAAAGCACGACGAGGGAAUCCCAAGUGCUGGCUCGUUAGAGUCAGCUGUUUUUAUGUCUAAAAAGCAUAGAGAGUAAGAGCUGGGUAAGACGGGUGCCAGCCGCCGCGGUAAUACCUGCAGCUCAAGUGGUGGCCGCUAUUAUUGGGCCUAAAACGUCCGUAGCCUGUUUAUUAAAUGCCUAGGUAAAUUGUGUGGCUUAACCAUACGAAUUCUGGGUAGACUGAUAAACUUGAGACCGGGAGAAGCUAGAGGUACUCCUGGGGUAGAGGUGAAAUUCUGUAAUCCUAGGGGGACCACCAGUGGCGAAGGCGUCUAGCUAGAACGGGUUUGACGGUGAGGGACGAAGCCCUGGGGCGCAAACGGGAUUAGAUACCCCGGUAGUCCAGGGUGUAAACGCUGCUUGCUUGAUGUUGGUUGGGCUCCGAGCCCAAUCAGUGUCGGAGAGAAGUUGUUAAGCAAGCUGCCUGGGAAGUACGGCCGCAAGACUGAAACUUAAAGGAAUUGGCGGGGGAGCACCGCAACGGGAGGAGCGUGCGGUUUAAUUGGAUUCAACGCCGGGA
rnacentral:rRNA from 1 species